AGAGUUUGAUCAUGGCUCAGAUUGAACGCUGGCGGCAUGCCUUACACAUGCAAGUCGAACGGCAGCACGGGUGCUUGCACCUGGUGGCGAGUGGCGAACGGGUGAGUAAUACAUCGGAACGUACCUUAUCGUGGGGGAUAACGCAGCGAAAGCUGUGCUAAUACCGCAUACGCCCUGAGGGGGAAAGCGGGGGAUCGAAAGACCUCGCGCGAUUAGAGCGGCCGAUGCCUGAUUAGCUUGUUGGUGGGGUAAAAGCCCACCAAGGCGACGAUCAGUAGCUGGUCUGAGAGGACGAUCAGCCACACUGGGACUGAGACACGGCCCAGACUCCUACGGGAGGCAGCAGUGGGGAAUUUUGGACAAUGGGGGAAACCCUGAUCCAGCAAUGCCGCGUGAGUGAAGAAGGCCUUCGGGUUGUAAAGCUCUUUUGUCAGGGAAGAAACACCGGCUCUAACACAGUCCGGGAAUGACGGUACCUGAAGAAUAAGCACCGGCUAACUACGUGCCAGCAGCCGCGGUAAUACGUAGGGUGCGAGCGUUAAUCGGAAUUACUGGGCGUAAAGCGUGCGCAGGCGGUUAUACAAGACAGGCGUGAAAUCCCCGGGCUUAACCUGGGAAUGGCGCCUGUGACUGUAUAGCUAGAGUGUGUCAGAGGGGGGUAGAAUUCCACGUGUAGCAGUGAAAUGCGUAGAUAUGUGGAGGAAUACCAAUGGCGAAGGCAGCCCCCUGGGAUAACACUGACGCUCAUGCACGAAAGCGUGGGGAGCAAACAGGAUUAGAUACCCUGGUAGUCCACGCCCUAAACGAUGCUGACUAGUUGUUCGGGAUUUACAUCCUGAGUAACGUAGCUAACGCGUGAAGUCAGCCGCCUGGGGAGUACGGUCGCAAGAUUAAAACUCAAAGGAAUUGACGGGGACCCGC
rnacentral:rRNA from 1 species